CGAACGCGUUGGCCCAAUUGAUUGAUGGUGCUUGCACCUGAUUGAUUUUGGUCGCCAACGAGUGGCGGACGGGUGAGUAACACGUAGGUAACCUGCCCAGAAGCGGGGGACAACAUUUGGAAACAGAUGCUAAUACCGCAUAACAACGUUGUUCGCAUGAACAACGCUUAAAAGAUGGCUUCUCGCUAUCACUUCUGGAUGGACCUGCGGUGCAUUAGCUUGUUGGUGGGGUAAUGGCCUACCAAGGCGAUGAUGCAUAGCCGAGUUGAGAGACUGAUCGGCCACAAUGGGACUGAGACACGGCCCAUACUCCUACGGGAGGCAGCAGUAGGGAAUCUUCCACAAUGGGCGCAAGCCUGAUGGAGCAACACCGCGUGAGUGAAGAAGGGUUUCGGCUCGUAAAGCUCUGUUGUUAAAGAAGAACACGUAUGAGAGUAACUGUUCAUACGUUGACGGUAUUUAACCAGAAAGUCACGGCUAACUACGUGCCAGCAGCCGCGGUAAUACGUAGGUGGCAAGCGUUAUCCGGAUUUAUUGGGCGUAAAGAGAGUGCAGGCGGUUUUCUAAGUCUGAUGUGAAAGCCUUCGGCUUAACCGGAGAAGUGCAUCGGAAACUGGAUAACUUGAGUGCAGAAGAGGGUAGUGGAACUCCAUGUGUAGCGGUGGAAUGCGUAGAUAUAUGGAAGAACACCAGUGGCGAAGGCGGCUACCUGGUCUGCAACUGACGCUGAGACUCGAAAGCAUGGGUAGCGAACAGGAUUAGAUACCCUGGUAGUCCAUGCCGUAAACGAUGAGUGCUAGGUGUUGGAGGGUUUCCGCCCUUCAGUGCCGGAGCUAACGCAUUAAGCACUCCGCCUGGGGAGUACGACCGCAAGGUUGAAACUCAAAGGAAUUGACGGGGGCCCGCACAAGCGGUGGAGCAUGUGGUUUAAUUCGAAGCUACGCGAAGAACCUUACCAGGUCUUGACAUCUUGCGCCAACCCUAGAGAUAGGGCGUUUCCUUCGGGAACGCAAUGACAGGUGGUGCAUGGUCGUCGUCAGCUCGUGUCGUGAGAUGUUGGGUUAAGUCCCGCAACGAGCGCAACCCUUGUUACUAGUUGCCAGCAUUAAGUUGGGCACUCUAGUGAAACUGCCGGUGACAA
rnacentral:rRNA from 2 species